CCAUUAAGUACUGGAUAAAGUGAACUCUGAGUCCUCAAAAUAGAGGUAACAAAUAUUUUUUUACUAACUUGUAAUAUUUCAGAUAUUUCCUGAAUGAAUAACCUAAAAAUGAAAAACAUUGUCUCUCAGUAACAUUAAUGCCUGAGAUCACUGGUGCUCGUCCAGUCCUCGAGGGCUAUCAUCCUGCUACCUUUAGAUGCAUCCCUUCCUCAACAAGCCUGAUGAGGGAAUUCAGCCACAAUGCAUACAUGUGAAGUAAAAGGAAAAUGAUACAUGGUUUUUAAAUUGUGCGGUUGGCAUUUUUAUCCAGUCCCUUUUACUCUGAUACCCCAAAAUAAAUAAUUCCCAGUCCAACUCACUGCUUUAAGAAGUUGCCUAAUUAUUAAAUAGAGUCCACCUGUGUUUAAUCAAGCCAUCAGCAGUUUGUCAUAGGUUAUUGGUGAACAGUGUGUACACAGUAAAAUCCUCAGUGUCAAAUAAGCAGUGUCAGAGCAUGUUAACUACAUAAGAGUCAAUUCAACAACAGUGAGUGUAAAAUGUCUCCUUAUGUUCUGCAGUGUUGGUGUAAAUAUUCAGAGUUAAAAUAGGUUUUGUAAAAAUAACUCUUUACAUUGUAAUUUAUCAAGUGUCAAAGAAAAUGCACUCUGUCGGAGUUAAUACAACACCAUAAUUCAGUGUUAAUGGAAAUUCUUCAAACUGAGUGUUAAAAAGUACUCCGAAAAGCUUCGUGCCAGACUGACCAGAAUUUUCUCAGUGCCAUUUUCAACUUCUCCACCUUGCUGAAAAGUGUUGAAACAAGUUCCUUCUGAACACCAUGUUAUUUUAUUAUGUUGCUUUAACGGAACAGAAGUAUGUGAAGAUCAGUGAACCAAGCCUGGAAGAUUUCUUGAAUGCUGCUUUCAUGAAGUUCUCCAUUCCACUUGUCGUUGAGGGCAUCACAGUGUUUGAUGACACAGGAACUGAGGUGGAUGCAGAAAUAUUUGAGGAACCAGUACUGGCAUAUUGACCAUCACAUUUGGCAAUGGGGUCAACACCAACUCACCGGACUCUGGAAACAUCAUUUUCUUCCACCUCAGUGUAUCAAACUGCAACACAUUCAGCACCAGAAUUUUCACGUUGUGACUCUGAUGAUACAGUCAUCCUUUAUCUUGCACCUUGCAGCUCUGUUAAUCCCAUUCACAAUGAGAAUGACAGUCCUCCCAGUAAACAGCAGAAAAUAAAAUGGAUGGAUACAACUUCAAAAGAGGUCUCUUUUUUUCUGCCAUGAUGAUAAAAUGGUGAAAAAUAAUAUAAUUUCGUGUCAUCCUUAAUAUGUCUGUCAAUAGUUGGUUGAAUCAGCACUGAUCAAGAAACCAGGUCAUAUGGAGCACAAGAUUCCUCUCUUUUCAUUGUUCCAUAUUGUCAUUUAAUGCAGCCUUGAUCAGUCAUUUUAGUAAUUUAGUCAUUAGAUUUAAAGAUUUUAAUUACUGUUGUCAAAAUUGAAGAUGGAGUUUUUCAAAUGUAACAUGGCAACAACCUAAGAGGCAAUAUAGGUCACAGCAAGAUAACCAAUUAAUGUACCUACUUUACAUUAAUUUUAUUUUUAAAACCUUGCGAUCUUUGAAAUUUUAUUUGGUGUUAGUCACUUUUUGUGGUUAUCUUCUCAAGAUGAUCUUGCACCUUAAUGUAUUUCACUUCUGAAAGUUAGAUUUGUAAAAUGUGUUAAUUCCAAAAGAUUGGUGGUUGCAUUUGAUUAUUGAAUGUUUGACUUCAAAGGACUAUCUGUUAUCUGAAAGAAUACAAGAAUUGCAUACUUUGUUAAAAAUGCAACCAAUGUUGUCAAGUUCUUCAAAGUAAUAAAGUUGUAUAGCUAAAAAUG